AUCCAGAGGUGUCUUCCUUCCACCCCCUGACAUUACACUAUCCUGCUGCUGGUAUGGGAAUGUCUCAGAGGAUUCCCAGUGGGUCUGGCAUAGAUAGGAUUAGACUGGCUACACAUACCUCACUCUCAGCUGAGGAAGGAGCAGUCAGCUUUGAUGAUGAGUGUGUGUGUGUGUUUGCAAUACCUCCCUCCUCUCUCUAAUCCACACCCCCAAGUGCUGUAAGACAGGCAGCUAGCAUUGAUCCUGAGCUUGUGCUCCUUCCACCUUCCCAGGCUGGUGCUGCUAUCAGUGUUGGGGACUCUUGGCAGGCUGGCUGUGAGCAUUGUGAGAGCAGGAGGGCACCCCCAGGUUGUCCAUGCCAUAGCUGACUCCUGCAUAGAGAAGAAGGAUUAAGAGGGUGUCUUCUCAUUCACCUGCUUUUUACAUGCACUUCUCUUUCAUCUACAGUAUUCUUCCUUCCCACCUCCUGCCCUGAGCAUCAUCCCUCUAUAUCCUGCCCUGAAUCUCUGUUCUGGCUCCUGCUCUGCCCUCCUGCCUGACCCAGCGCCAUCUGUUUGUCUACCUGAGUGUGUUUGAGAGAGGUGACCUCACUCACAUCACCUAGGGAUGGCUGCUCUGGGAGCCUCAGGGAGCUGCUGCGACUGCUCUUUGUAAAGAAAUACUCAAGGCUUGGGUUUGGAGGCAUCUCAAGCAGGGAAGACCAGGGGUCUGCUGACAUCUUUUAAACUGUGUCGGAUGAGAAGAUUGCCAAGAGACCAGCACCACCAUGAGUACCAGCUG